rnacentral:rRNA from 1 species
GGCCAGACUCCUACGGGAGGCAGCAGUGGGGAAUAUUGCACAAUGGGCGAAAGCCUGAUGCAGCAACGCCGCGUGAAGGAAGAAGGGUUUCGGCUCGUAAACUUCUAUCAACAGGGACGAAAGAAAUGACGGUACCUGAAUAAGAAGCCCCGGCUAACUACGUGCCAGCAGCCGCGGUAAUACGUAGGGGGCAAGCGUUAUCCGGAUUUACUGGGUGUAAAGGGAGCGUAGACGGCAUGGCAAGUCUGAUGUGAAAACCCGGGGCUCAACCCCGGGACUGCAUUGGAAACUGUCAGGCUAGAGUGUCGGAGAGGCAAGUGGAAUUCCUAGUGUAGCGGUGAAAUGCGUAGAUAUUAGGAGGAACACCAGUGGCGAAGGCGGCUUGCUGGACGAUGACUGACGUUGAGGCUCGAAAGCGUGGGGAGCAAACAGGAUUAGAUACCCCCGUAC